rnacentral:rRNA from 1 species
AGUCGAGCGGAUCGAACGGGAGCUUGCUUCCGUUCGGUUAGCGGCGGACGGGUGAGUAACACGUGGGCAACCUGCCCGUAAGACCGGGAUAACUUCGGGAAACCGGAGCUAAUACCGGAUAACACCGAAGACCGCAUGGUCUUUGGUUGAAAGACGGCUUUGGCUGUCACUUACGGAUGGGCCCGCGGCGCAUUAGCUAGUUGGUGGGGUAACGGCUCACCAAGGCGACGAUGCGUAGCCGACCUGAGAGGGUGAUCGGCCACACUGGGACUGAGACACGGCCCAGACUCCUACGGGAGGCAGCAGUAGGGAAUCUUCCGCAAUGGACGAAAGUCUGACGGAGCAACGCCGCGUGAGCGAAGAAGGUCUUCGGAUUGUAAAGCUCUGUUGUUAGGGAAGAACAAGUACCGUUCGAAUAGGGCGGUACCGUGACGGUACCUAACGAGAAAGCCACGGCUAACUACGUGCCAGCAGCCGCGGUAAUACGUA